UUAGAGUUUGAUCCUGGCUCAGGAUGAACGCUGGCGGCGUGCCUAAUACAUGCAAGUCGAGCGAACAGAUAAGGAGCUUGCUCCUUUGAAGUUAGCGGCGGACGGGUGAGUAACACGUGGGUAACCUACCUAUAAGACUGGGAUAACUUCGGGAAACCGGAGCUAAUACCGGAUAACAUUUAGAACCGCAUGGUUCUAAAGUGAAAGAUGGUUUUGCUAUCACUUAUAGAUGGACCCGCGCCGUAUUAGCUAGUUGGUAAGGUAACGGCUUACCAAGGCGACGAUACGUAGCCGACCUGAGAGGGUGAUCGGCCACACUGGAACUGAGACACGGUCCAGACUCCUACGGGAGGCAGCAGUAGGGAAUCUUCCGCAAUGGGCGAAAGCCUGACGGAGCAACGCCGCGUGAGUGAUGAAGGGUUUCGGCUCGUAAAACUCUGUUAUUAGGGAAGAACAAAUGUGUAAGUAACUGUGCACAUCUUGACGGUACCUAAUCAGAAAGCCACGGCUAA
rnacentral:rRNA from 1 species